rnacentral:rRNA from 1 species
AUUGAACGCUGGCGGCAUGCCUAACACAUGCAAGUCGAACGGUAACAGGAAGCAGCUUGCUGCUUUGCUGACGAGUGGCGGACGGGUGAGUAAUGUCUGGGAAACUGCCUGAUGGAGGGGGAUAACUACUGGAAACGGUAGCUAAUACCGCAUAACGUCGCAAGACCAAAGAGGGGGACCUUAGGGCCUCUUGCCAUCGGAUUUGCCCAGAUGGGAUUAGCUAGUAGGUGGGGUAACGGCUCACCUAGGCGACGAUCCCUAGCUGGUCUGAGAGGAUGACCAGCCACACUGGAACGGAGACACGGUCCAGACUCCUACGGGAGGCAGCAGUGGGGAAUAUUGCACAAGGGGCGCAAGCCUGAUGCAGCCAUGCCGCGUGUAUGAAGAAGGCCUUCGGGUUGUAAAGUACUUUCAGCGGGGAGGAAGGGAGUAAAGUUAAUACAUUUGCUCAUUGACGUUACCCGCAGAAGAAGCACCGGCUAACUACGUG